rnacentral:lncRNA from 1 species
NNNGGUGGCGCGAAGGGCGCCCAGCCGCGGGAGCUGGCGAGGAGCAGGGGGUGGGCCCAGCCCUGCCCGAAGACCGCGCCCGCCAGCCUCAGUUUCCCCGUCCGCCCAGUGAGAGGCUGGAAUGAGAUGAAGGUCCCCCAUCCUGACAUUGCAGGAGUGAGCCACAAAGGAAAAGAAGUCCAUCUCCACCUGCCCGCUGUGCCUCUGUGUUCUCCAGGAGGGGGCUGUGACGCGAAGCCGAACCUUCUUGAAAAUACGGAGGAGAAGACGGUGUGACGUGCUCUGGAGAAGCCGUAGGAUGAAGCAGAAAAUUCACAGAAAAGCCUCAGAUAACAAGGAGUUGCCCCAUAGAUGCUUCUCCCAAGGCCUCAUAACGCCAAGGUGCGUGGACAACUAGAAGUUGCCCUUGGCACAGGCUGUAUGUGGGUUUCUCUGAGGAUCGGACCCGGAGGCCAUGUGUGUUCUGUGGUUGUCUCCUCCCAUCUGUGACAGUGUGUCCACCUGUUCCUGUUCCUCGGGAGCCAGGACAGCUGGAGAAGCACUGGCGAGGUAGCUUCCAGAACCUUCUGCAGUCUGGCAUUGCCCAGUGUUUUCUCGUGGGCCCCUGUUGUCCUCGAGGUGUCCACGUGUCUCCCAGGCAGUCACAGCGCACACCACCUUGGGGACACAGAGGCAGUGGCUGCGCUGGGAGCAGGCCCCCCAUGAGGAAUGGCUUUCUGUCCCCUCCCAUGUAUUCUCACGUGACACAACCCACCCUUUUGCUUUUCGAGCAACUUCCUUACUUUCUGGCAAAACAGCAUGCGCAAAAGCUGUCACCCCAACUCUCCAGCUCAUAACUUGGUCUCUUGGUGAGUCAUUAUUAAGCACCUCCCGCAUACCCACUGUGUCAUGGCAUCAGGAAUAAAGUCAGUGUUCAU